rnacentral:rRNA from 1 species
CGGAGUUGCUAGUAAUCCCGAAUCAGCAUGUCGGGGUGAAUGCGUUCCCGGGUCUUGUACACACCGCCCGUCACGCCAUGGGAGUUAGGAGUACCCGAAGCCAGUGACCUAACCGCAAGGGAGGAGCUGUCGAAGGUAAGACUGAUGACUGGGGUGAAGUCGUAACAAGGUAGC